GAACUCCUACGGGGCGCAGCAGUAGGGAAUUUUCGUCAAUGGGCGCAAGCCUGAACGAGCAAUGCCGCGUGAACGAGGAAGGUCUUCGGAUCGUAAAGUUCUGUUGAAGGGGAAAAAGAGCGGAGAGAGGAAAUGGUCUCCGAUUGAUAUUACCCUUCGAGGAAGUCACGGCUAACUACGUGCCAGCAGCCGCGGUAAUACGUAGGUGGCGAGCGUUAUCCGGGAGGAUUGGGCGGAAAGGGUGCGUAGGCGGCCUGCUAAGUCUGGAGUGAAAGG
rnacentral:rRNA from 1 species